rnacentral:rRNA from 1 species
AUUGAACGCUGGCGGCAGGCUUAACACAUGCAAGUCGAGCGGGGUGAUGGUGCUUGCACUAUCACUUAGCGGCGGACGGGUGAGUAAUGCUUAGGAAUCUGCCUAUUAGUGGGGGACAACAUCUCGAAAGGGAUGCUAAUACCGCAUACGUCCUACGGGAGAAAGCAGGGGAUCACUUGUGACCUUGCGCUAAUAGAUGAGCCUAAGUUGAGAUUAGCUAGUUGGUGGGGUAAAGGCCUACCAAGGCGACGAUCUGUAGCGGGUCUGAGAGGAUGAUCCGCCACAAGGGGACUGAGACACGGCCCAGACUCCUACGGGAGGCAGCAGUGGGGAAUAUUGGACAAUGGGGGGAACCCUGAUCCAGCCAUGCCGCGUGUGUGAAGAAGGCCUUAUGGUUGUAAAGCACUUUAAGCGAGGAGGAGGCUCUUUUGGUUAAUACCCAAGAUGAGUGGACGUUACUCGCAGAAUAAGCACCGGCUAACUCUGUGCCAGCAGCCGCCGUAA